rnacentral:rRNA from 1 species
AGUGAACGCUGGCGGUAGGCCUAAUACAUGCAAGUCGAACGGCAGCACAGUAAGAGCUUGCUCUUACGGGUGGCGAGUGGCGGACGGGUGAGGAAUACAUCGGAAUCUACUUUUUCGUGGAGGAUAACGUAGGGAAACUUACGCUAAUACCGCAUACGACCUACGGGUGAAAGCAGGGGAUCUUCGGACCUUGCGCGAUUGAAUGAGCCGAUGUCGGAUUAGCUAGUUGGCGGGGUAAAGGCCCACCAAGGCGACGAUCCGUAGCUGGUCUGAGAGGAUGAUCAGCCACACUGGAACUGAGACACGGUCCAGACUCCUACGGGAGGCAGCAGUGGGGAAUAUUGGACAAUGGGCGCAAGCCUGAUCCAGCCAUACCGCGUGGGUGAAGAAGGCCUUCGGGUUGUAAAGCCCUUUUGUUGGGAAAGAAAAGCAGCAGGUUAAUACCCCGCUGUUCUGACGGUACCCAAAGAAUAAGCACCGGCUAACUUCGUG